ACGUGUGUGGGUGUGAUCUGCUGGGUUGUAUGACGCUGUGGUAGAAGGCGAGCCAGAUGGCCAAGAUCAAUUGCUUCAUUGUGCCAUUGUACGGUUCUGCUGAGAUAGGCGUGGCAACGUCCUCGGAAGCGAUGGCAGCGCCUCGCCCUCUCGCCCACUUCUCCACGGAACCGACGUCAUCCAUGGCCACACCAACGUCUUCGGCGCCAGUCUUACCCCAUAAUGUCGGCCUCGAAGCCUGCAGG
rnacentral:lncRNA from 1 species